rnacentral:rRNA from 1 species
AUUGAACGCUGGCGGAAUGCCUAACACAUGCAAGUCGAGCGGAGUAGCAAUACUCAGCGGCGGACGGGUGAGGAAUACAUAGGAAAUUGCCUUGAGGUGGGGGAUAGCUUGGGGAAACUCAAGGUAAUACCGCAGGAUCUACCGAGAGCAAAGUGGAGCACGACUCGCCUUUAGAGAGGCCCAUGUCUGAUUAGCUAGUUGGCGGUGUAAUAGACCACCAAGGCGACGAUCAGUAACUGGUCUGAGAGGACGAUCAGUCACACCGGAACUGAGACACGGUCCGGACUCCUACGGGAGGCAGCAGUGGGGAAUAUUGGACAAUGGGCGAAAGCCUGAUCCAGCAAUUCCGCGUGUGUGAAGAAGGCCUUCGGGUUGUAAAGCACUUUAGUGAGGGAAGAAACAGCUUGGCCACACCAAGCCUUGACGGUACCUCAAGAAUAAGCACCGGCUAACUCUGUGCCAGCCGCCGCGGUAA